rnacentral:rRNA from 1 species
GAGCACGUAGGUGGGUUUGUAAGUCAGACGUGAAAGCCUUCUGUUCAACGGAAGAAUUGCAUCUGAAACUACAAACCUUGAGUGUAGGAGGGGAGAAUGGAACUUCUGGUGGAGCGGUGAAAUGCGUAGAUAUCAGAAGGAACGCCGGCGGCGAGAGCGAUUCUCUGGCCUAUUACUGACACUCAGUGUGCGAAAGCUAGGGGAGCAAACGGGAUUAGAUACCCCGGUAGUCCUAGCCGUAAACGAUGGGCACUAAGUAGAGGG